rnacentral:tRNA from 1 species
GGAAGAAAGUAAGAAACCGCUAACUUCUCAACCCUGAACUAACACUUCAGCUUCCC